AGUUGCGGGCUGGCCAAGCGCACAGCCUUCCGCUAGGUCGGUCGCUCCCUUCUCUUUCGCGGCAACCGGCGGCGAGUUCUCACCAGGGCAGCCCCGGUCCUUCUGGGGCGGCGCUCCCGGCUCUGAGCCCAGUCUUCAGCUAUGGGGAUCCCCUGGAUCAGGCCAUUAGCCUCCUGGUGGCCAUCUUCCACAAGUACUCUGGCCGGCCGUGAGGAUGCAGGAUGCUGAAAUCACAGAGCUAGUGGGCGAACUGGACCAGAACAAGGACCGUGUGGUGAACUUUCAAGAAUAUGUCACCUUCCUGGGGGCCCUGGCUAUGAUCUACAAUGAACUUCUCCGGGACUGAAAAUGAAUUGGGAGGUGGAGACGCCUUCUCUCUGGUCUGUCUGUCUA